AAUCAACGCUGGCGGCGUGCCUAACACACGCAAGUCGCACGAGAAAGUGGAGCAAUCCAUGAGUACAGUGGCGCACGGGUGAGUAACACGUGAAUCAUCUACCUUCGAGUGGGGAAUAACUGAGAGAAAUCUUAGCUAAUACCGCAUAAUACCUACGGGUCAAAGCAGCAAUGCGCUUGAAGAGGAGUUCGCGGCAGAUUAGUUAGUUGGCGGGGUAAUGGCCCACCAAGACGAUGAUCUGUAUCCGGCCUGAGAGGGCGCACGGACACACUGGAACUGAACCACGGUCCAGACUCCUACGGGAGGCAGCAGUGGGGAAUUUUGCGCAAUGGGGGAAACCCUGACGCAGCAACGCCGCGUGGAGGAUGAAGCCCCUUGGGGUGUAAACUCCUUUCGUUCGGGAAGAUUAUGACGGUACCGAAAUAAGAAGCCCCGGCUAACUUCGUGCCAGCCGCCGCUGUAAUAC
rnacentral:rRNA from 1 species